UACGGGGGGUGCGAGCGUUGUCCGGAAUCACUGGGCGUAAAGGGCGCGUAGGUGGUUUGAUAAGGGUGUGGUGAGAGUCCGGGGCUCAACCCCGGAUCUGCCGUGCCGACUGUCAAACUCGAGGGCUGUAGAGGCAGACGGAAUUCCGGGUGUAGCGGUGGAAUGCGUAGAGAUCCGGAAGAACACCGGUGGCGAAGGCGGCCUGCUGGGCAGUGGCUGACACUGAGGCGCGACAGCGUGGGGAGCAAACAGG
rnacentral:rRNA from 1 species